rnacentral:rRNA from 1 species
GCAUCUUCGGAUGCUUAGUGGCGAACGGGUGAGUAACACGUAGAUAACCUACCUUUAACUCGAGGAUAACUCCGGGAAACUGGAGCUAAUACUGGAUAGGAUGUGUGCAUGAAAAAAACACAUUUAAAGAUUUAUCGGUUUAAGAGGGGUCUGCGGCGCAUUAGUUAGUUGGUGGGGUAAAAGCCUACCAAGACGAUGAUGCGUAGCCGGACUGAGAGGUCUACCGGCCACAUUGGGACUGAGAACGGCCCAAACUCCUACGGGAGGCAGCAGUAGGGAAUUUUCGGCAAUGGGGGAAACCCUGACCGAGCAACGCCGCGUGAACGACGAAGUACUUCGGUAUGUAAAGUUCUUUUAUAUGGGAAGAAAAA